AAGCUGCGCWGCUAUACAUGCAGUCGACGAGCUUCCGUUGAAUGACGUGCUUGCACUGAUUUCAACAAUGAAGCGAGUGGCGAACUGGUGAGUAACACGUGGGRAAUCUGCCYAGAAGCAGGGGAUAACACUUGGAAACAGGUGCUAAUACCGUAUAACAACAAAAUCCGCAUGGAUUUUGUUUGAAAGGUGGCUUCGGCUAUCACUUCUGGAUGAUCCCGCGGCGUAUUAGUUAGUUGGUGAGGUAAAGGCCCACCAAGACRAUGAUACGUAGCCGACCUGAGAGGGUAAUCGGCCACAUUGGGACUGAGACACGGCCCAAACUCCUACGGGAGGCAGCAGUAGGGAAUCUUCCACAAUGGACGAAAGUCUGAUGGAGCAAUGCCGCGUGAGUGAAGAAGGGUUUCGGCUCGUAAAACUCUGUUGUUAAAGAAGAACACCUUUGAGAGUAACUGUUCAAGGGUUGACGGUAUUUAACCAGAAAGCCACGGCUAACUACGUGCCAGCAGCCGCGGUAAUACGUAGGUGGCAAGCGUUGUCCGGAUUUAUUGGGCGUAAAGCGAGCGCAGGCGGUUUUUUAAGUCUGAUGUGAAAGCCUUCGGCUUAACCGGAGAAGUGCAUCGGAAACUGGGAGACUUGAGUGCAGAAGAGGACAGUGGAACUCCAUGUGUAGCGGUGGAAUGCGUAGAUAUAUGGAAGAACACCAGUGGCGAAGGCGGCUGUCUAGUCUGUAACUGACGCUGAGGCUCGAAAGCAUGGGUAGCGAACAGGAUUAGAUACCCUGGUAGUCCAUGCCGUAAACGAUGAGUGCUAAGUGUUGGAGGGUUUCCGCCCCUUCAGUGCUGCAGCUAACGCAUUAAGCMCUCCGCCUGGGGAGUACGACCGCAAGGUUGAACUCAAGGAAUUGACGGGGGCCCGCACAGCGGUGAGCAUGUGGUUAUUCGAGCUACGCGAGGACCUUUACCAGGUCUGACAUYCUUCUGCAUCUUAGARAUAAGACGUACCUUUCCAGACCGAAUGAACCGUGCUGUCMAUGAUGUUCUUC
rnacentral:rRNA from 1 species